CACGUAGGGGGCGAGCGUUGUCCGGAUUUAUUGGGCGUAAAGAGCUCGUAGGUGGUUUGUCGCGUUGUUCGUGAAAACUCACAGCUUAACUGUGGGCGUGCGGGCGAUACGGGCAGACUGGAGUACUGCAGGGGAGACUGGAAUUCCUGGUGUAGCGGUGGAAUGCGCAGAUAUCAGGAGGAACACCGGUGGCGAAGGCGGGUCUCUGGGCAGUAACUGACGCUGAGGAGCGAAAGCGUGGGGAGCGAACAGG
rnacentral:rRNA from 1 species